UAAGAAGAAAGCGGCGGCGGCGGCUUGAGGGGGGCGGAAGCGAAGCCCCAACUUAUGUCAUUCCAGGAUUCCACUGCCAAAGUCAAGAGAGACAAUAUAUUUAUUUCUCCAUGCUAGAGCUUCUGCUGUUGUUCCCCAAAGGAGGAUUUGGCCGCUGGUCUAACAAUAACCUCUUAAAAAGAAAAACUUGUUGUCGGGGAAGCUGCAAUUUUGGGAGAACAGUUUGCAGUGAAAUAUAAUGAGGAUUGGCUGAUCCCAGGAAGCAGGACUGAUUCUGAAUGGGUAUGACAUCACCAAGGAACUCAGCUAACUCCAAGGGAAAGUUCUGAACUGGAAACAAAACACUGGAGAAAAUGACAGAAGACAUAAUGUUAUGGUUUGGGGUUCUUCCUGAAGCUGCUUUUUGAGAAAAUCCUAUGUCCAAUAAACUAAAAAUAGUUUAGCAUAGCUUUUGUUAAUGUACCAUAAAACGUUUUUAAAGGUAUAGGUAGCCUUAUGUUUUAGGUCUGCCUAGUAUUUUAAAAAUCACCUAUGUUGGCUAACUAAUAAUGAGUAAAUAGAAAGGAAACUAGUUGUAAAUUAUUUUGAAUUCCAUUAAGAAACAGUUUAUACUGUAGCACAAGAACUGCAAACAGUGCACAUUUCUUAUUACAGGCCAUAAAAACAUGCAGUUAUUUGAUGCUUGCAUGUCCAUAGAAAAAUAUGAUGUGUUCAGACCCACACCGACACAUACACAGACACUAUUUAUUGUGAUUCAGAAUUAGAAUUUACUUGCUUUAUUUUUAAGAAAACAUAUUAUUUGUGGUACAAUAUAAGAUUUCACCAAUAUUAAAUACCCUUCCUCUAUGGACACAUAUUUAUUUGACUUUUGCUCAGACAUGGACACAUAUUCACUGAAGCAAAAUAUACUAUGGCCAUGACAUAUGAGAUAAAAGUCUUUCAUUUCCAACUACGAAAAUCAGGUAUGCACAAACUUUUUUGCUCCAAGAUCCACAUAGAAUGAUGGGAGCUACAUACAUGUACACAAGUUCACACUCACAUAACUGACACGCAGGACUAAUGGGCACGUCACUCACAUACCAUCCACGCUCAGUGCAACAUCAACACAUCUUGGUCUUGCAGCAACAGCAUCUAUCUCAGGUCACAUCAUCAAAGUGUUGGAAGUUCCCACCCAAGGUACCCAAAAUGGUCUUUCAUCACCCAAAGGGGGAAAUAUUCUAGCAAUGGCCUACCAUACCAGCAUCAUUCCAAACACAUUUACAGAUCAUCUUAGGAAGCUGGUGGAUAUAUGCAAUCAUUGUUCCUGAGAAAGUCCAGAGACACUCCAGACAAAGCUUAUACGGCAGGAACCAUAGAGCCUGUACCUAGAACCUGUUUCCCAUUCCUCCCCUUUUUGGCAGCCACAAGACAAAGUUUAAAGCAUGAAUCAUUUGCUGACUAUAAGAUGUGGCUAACCUACUUCUUUCCAAAACUGUUGUCAGUGACUAGAAAUAAAUGAUGGGAAAGGUGAGUCUUCUUGGAGAAAGUAAGAAUAUGUGAAUGAAAGAGAUUGCUUUUUCAUCUCAUCAAAGUCAGUAUUUCACUACAGAGCAGCUCCAUAAUUUUCCAUUGACAUUGCUAAUGCAAAAAGUGGUUGCAACGGAAGUAUGAUACGUUAUGGCAUAAUCUUACAAAUGUUCCCUUCCAUCAAAGCACAGUGAGAUCAGUUUAAUUAACAGUGGCCUUCACCUUUUUUCUUUUUAUGCUUAAGUAUUUGCUGUGCCUGUAUAUCAUCUUUACAUUGUAAAGGAAGAAUAUACAAGCUUCAACAGGAAAGGCAAACAGUAGUGGAGAAAGAAUUCUGAUUAAUGGAAGAUAAGAGACUGGAAGAAAUAAAUACAGGAAAAGUCAAAGGAAGCCAGAAAAAAAAAUGAGAGCAUUAGAAAAGAACAAAUCCCUGGUUUGUGGGGUAGAUGGUAGAUAAUUUCCCUAAUAGUUACUGUAAAAACUGAAAUUUUUACAGUUUUUAAUUUAGUUUUUCAAUGCAAAUCAAAUAAUAGUUGUGUCUUUAUGGUGUGGGGGGAGAGGAAACAAAUUUACAAAAGAUUUCUAAGCAUAUUAUUAUGUCCAUUCUGUGCCAGAACAUAGAAAUAGCUGGACCUUCCUUCUCUAUAGAAGCUUGACCUUUCUGAGAGCUGUAUAUGAAAGGUUAGAAAGGAAGAUGAUGCAGACCAGCUUUUCCCAACCGGGUGCCCUCCAGAUGUGCUGGACUACAAGUUGUACCACCCACAGCCGAAGUUGCAAUGCUGCCUAGGAAUAUGAGAAUUGUAGCCUGACACAUUUAGACUGUACUAGGCUGGGAAAGGCUGCUUUAUGACAUCUUCCCUGCUAGCCUUCCAUGCACUGCUUUCAGAAAGGUCACCCUUCCAUAGAGAAAGGAGGGGGCAGUUAUUUCUAUGUUCUGGAGAUAUUCACCUUUGAAAAUGAGAGGGCAGAGAUGACCAGCCAGGGCUAAAAUUCCUUUAAUGUCUAAAGGGAAAGAAUCCAAAAUUAGCCCAAGUAACACAGAAUGAUAGACAAUCUAACAUUGUAAAGGUUACCUAUUUAUUGGUUAGUACUCUCUGAUGUGUAAACUUCAUAAAAUUGAAGCUCAGAGAAAACAUUGUACAGCCUUGUCUAUAUCUCUGGUGUCAUUUGCCAUUGUUGCUACAGAAUUUGCUGAAAUGAUCAUGCAAAAGACGUGGUUCCAAUUCUUAUUUUUGUUACUUAUGUUAAUGUGCACAAGACUGGAUUCUAGGCAAAAAAGAGAAAUAAGAAGCAAUGAACUAACCAUAGAAGGUCUUUGUCAUAACUUUUGGGAGUUUAUCCUCAUGAAGGUUAGUUGUGCUGCAGAAUGUUUCUUGGACAUCAAUCUCUGCUCCUGAUUAUUUAUGAUAAUUUAAUAUGGUGUAUUUUAUUGUAUUUUUAAUGUGCUGUU